GAUGAAGAACGCAGCGAAAUGCGAUAAGUAGUGUGAAUUGCAGAAUUCAGUGAAUCAUCGAAUCUUUGAACGCACAUUGCACUCCUUGGUAUUCCGAGGAGUAUGCCUGUUUCAGUAUCAUGAGCACUCUCACAUCUAACCUUUGGGUUAAAAUGUGGAAUUGGGAUGCGCCGGUUAUUAUAACGGCCCUCCUAAAAUUCAGUUCUUGGCUGCUUCCUACUACAGCAGUUUGGCCUAAUAGUUUUGAGUCUUCGAUUCAAAUCUUUGGCUAACAUUUGCUUCAGGAUGUCAGUCUUGAUAUACAGAAAUCUCAUUCAAACUUUGAUCUGAAAUCAGGUAGGGCUACCCGCUGAACUUAAGCAUAUCAAUAAGCGGAGGA
rnacentral:misc_RNA from 1 species